GGGCAACAAAGUCUAGUAUUGAUUCUGCAUCAUCUACUAACAGUUCUUUACACCAAAAAUGAAAAAGAGAAAUGACCUCCUCCAUGAUCAUCAAUCAAAUUCGUGCAAUUACCUACACACAAAAAAGGAAUCCUCCCUCUAAAUAAACAAGAUAUUUCCUUCUUUCUCCAUCUGAAAUGAUCACCUAUUUACUUUCUUUCU
rnacentral:misc_RNA from 1 species